rnacentral:rRNA from 1 species
UACGAAGGGGGGCUAGCGUUGUUCGGAAUUACUGGGCGUAAAGCGCACGUAGGCGGGUUUGUAAGUAGGGGGGUGAAAUCCCAGGGCUCAACCCUGGAACUGCCUUCUAAACUGCAAGCCUGGAGGUCAGGAGAGGCGAGUGGAAUACCGAGUGUAGAGGUGAAAUUCGUAGAUAUUCGGUGGAACACCAGUGGCGAAGGCGACUCGCUGGACUGAUACUGACGCUGGAGGUGCGAAAGCGUGGGGGAGCAAACAGG